GGGGCUCUCUCUCUCCCCACAGCUGCAGCCCAGGCAGCUGCGGCCGCUCAGGCAGCAGCCGCAGCCAAGGCAGCCAAGUUCGGUGCUGGAGGAGCAGGAGCCUUGGGAGGUCUGGUGCCAGGGGUCGGAGACGGAGUGGCAGGUGUCCCAGGCACAGGAGUGGUGCCAGGAGCAGGGAUUCCAGCCGCUGCAGCCGCCAAAGCCGCUGCCAAAGCCGCCCAGUUUGGGUUAGGGCCCGGUAUUGGCGUGGGUCCCGGUGUGGGUCCCGGCGUGGGUCCUGGCAUUGGUCCUGGCAUUGGCAUUGUCCCCGGUGCUGUUACAGGAGUAGGGGCCCCCGCUGCAGCCAAAGCCGCUGCGAAAGCAGCCGCCAAAGCCCAGUUCCGGGCUGCAGCUGGGCUUCCUGCUGGCGUUCCUGGAUUAGGGGUUGGUGCCGGCGUUCCUGGAUUCGGAGUUGGUGCUGGUGUUCCUGGAUUUGGGGCAGGUGCAGGUGAGGGGCCUUCUAGGGCCUGGG
rnacentral:lncRNA from 1 species